CUGCUGUCCCCUGGUGGCCACUCCACACUGACUCUGGGAGGCUCGGGGAACUCCUUUGUCCAGGUGAUGAAGAACCCACAGCUCAGAACCUGAUUCGCUGAUCCCUUGACUGCUGGCUCCAGAGGAGGAAUUGCUCUUUUCUCCAAUGCCCUGUCAGCCUCAAGACCAGGCAGGAGGAGAUCAGAUUAUCCAUGAAAACAAGAACAGGCUCAUCUGAGGAAGACAAGGGACUCCUAAUUGACAAACCAGUGGUGAGAUCAGAACAUGUGACUGAAGAGGAAGACGGUAGCCUCCAGCAUCCUGCAAUCAGCUAUCAGGUCUCACAUCCGGAUGGCCAACCCUUCCUGGGUGAUAGAUAGAAGCCCUGAUGCCAGGCUCACCCCAUCUGCAGGUGCUUUGCCAGUUGAUCUCUGCUGUCCCCUGGUGGCCACUCCACACUGACUCUGGGAGGCUCGGGGAACUCCUUUGUCCAGGUGAUGAAGAACCCACAGCUCAGAACCUGAUUCGCUGAUCCCUUGACUGCUGGCUCCAGAGGAGGAAUUGCUCUUUUCUCCAAUGCCCUGUCAGCCUCAAGACCAGGCAGGAGGAGAUCAGAUUAUCCAUGAAAACAAGAACAGGCUCAUCUGAGGAAGACAAGCGGGCUCCAGAGGGCGCACGAGGACAUUUGGCCGCGCUUCCGUGCCAUCUACGAGG